AUAGCACAUAAGCUAACAGGGUUGUGGAUGGAUGGGGCAAGCUUUAGAGCUAGAUGUCCUUUAGUCCUUUCUCUCUCGCUUCCUCAUCUCACUCUGUCUCCAUCUCUUGCUCCCCCUCCCUCUUCUCUCUGUCUCUCGCUGUAACCCCCCCUCUCUUUCACUCUGCACCUGAAGACAUCCGUCCAUCUGCCAAAUCCUCCUUCAUCAAGUGCUGUCCAGAGGAGAUCUAUCCGCUGCUUUCAACACCGUGAACCAUCAGAUCCUCUUCUCAGUGUCUCAGGCUCUACACACUCUUAGAUUGCAUCCUGCCUGGCAGGUCCCUCCUACCAGGUGGCGACACCUCGACAAGAUGGAGCUGCUCUUCCCCUUGGGGGAGAACUGCCCACUCCACGGUGUCCCCCUCCCAGAGUGAAAAGAACCUUGACGUGAUCCUGGUCAACAUUCUGUCAUUCUCUCCAAACGUCAAAGCAGUGACUUGGUCCUGUAGGUUCAUACGCUACAACAUCCACAGAGUACGACCCUUCCUCACACAAGAAGUGAUGCAGGUCAUCUCCCAUCUAGACCUCUGCAACUUUCUGUUGGCUGAGCUCCCUGCUUGUGCCAUCAACUUUUCCAGAACGCCGCAGCCCUCCUCGUAUUCAACAUUCCCAAGUUCUCCCAUGUCACCCCACUCCUCCACACACUCCACUGGCUUCCAGCCGAAGCUUGCAUCCACUAAAAGACCAUGGUGCUUGCCUACGUAGCAUUACAUUUUAGCAGACGCUUUUAUUCAGAGCGAUUUACAGUAGUGCAUUCAUCUUAAGAUAGCUCGGUGAGACAACAACAUAUCACAUUUGUAGCAAAUACAUUUUCACUCAACAAAGUAGUUAUGCCCCUCCCGGCCUUCAGGCUUUGCUCAAACUCUACACCCCAAACCGAGGACUCCGUUCUGCCACCUCUGGUCUCUUGGUCAUCCCACCACUACUGGGGGUCUGCUCCCACUCAGCCCUGGCGAAUCUCUUCUCUGUCCUGGCACUCCAAUGGUGGAACCAGCUUCCCCCUGAAGCUGCCCAUCUUCCGAAAAUGUAUGAAACCCUACACCUUCAACCCCUUCAACCCCCUUCAAAUAGUAUCUAAAAUGAAUCCCACUAGCACUGACUACUGAUAACUACUUUAUUGAAGGUAAAUGGACUUGCUACGACUGUAAUAUGUGGUUGUCUCACCCAGCUUCAGGAGGUGAGGUCAUGUGUGCAGAGGGCCUGGGUAUGAGCCGAAUCAGGGAGAAGUGGUACUCACUCAAAAGCAGCGUAACGUCUUUUACAUUAGCAUAAAAACAAGGCUAUUGAAUGCUGUACUGCCUUGAAACUGGUGACUACAGAUAGAUAUGGAUUUUUGGUUCAGAAUUAUCAUAGAAUGUCAUAUCAGUCUUUGUGAGAGGUCUACUGUAUGCACAUUGACAAUA